UUUAAGUGAUGAACUAGAACCAUGAUUUCUUCUUUGGUUUUUAAUGAGCUGCUCACUGAGCUCAUCGUCAUCACUAGUUGCUCCGUGUUGAGACAUUGGUGACGUCACUGGUGAUAAAGUUGAACCUUUUUCUGCCUCUGAUCCUGUUAAACACUACAACUGUUCUUGUGUCCUUAGAAUGAAGUGACUAAAAACUGACUUUGUCGUUGUCUGUUAGGGAGGAUUCAUAGAGACUAGAGUCUAAAUGUUUUGUGCAGCAACAUAAUCUGAGUAUCAUUAAUCAGAAUCAAAGUGAACCUUUAAAUUGUAUCUAUUUUUGAUCAAUUUAACUCUCGAACAGAGACCAUUGAGCAUUUAGUGACAUCAGGGAGUCAGCGACUCAACGUCAGCCAUGUUGGACUCAGAGCACUGACACCUGUCAAUCAUGUGCAGCGUUAAAUGUUUCCCCCUGAACAGGAAGUGAGCACAGAGAAAGUAGUUCCUCCCUCACUCUCCCUCUGUGUUUGUCACCACAUCUACGUUUCCUGAACCUCAUGUUCAGAAACAAAGUCAUUGUUAAUGUUGGAAUAGUUUCAAUGAAUGACAGUGAUGUUAAAGCAGUUGAUGUUGAGCUGCUGCACAAAUGAUGGACAGUGUAAAUGACCACAAAGGUAAUGUCAGUUACUCGUUGUGGGCGUGGCUCAAUUGAAGCAGACUCACCCCAGACCAUGUGUGCCGAGCACGGAGAUUUACGGCAGACUCUGCCUUCAGGUUUCUUCAAGUUGAAUGUAAGUUUGUAUGUUACUGUAACGUUUAUUAUGUUGUUUUAUUUAACGCUAUUUGGUAAUAUGUAAACACUUUACAAAUCAUAGUUGAGUUUUUCUUACCUCGCUUGCAUGCAUGUGCUAUUUUUAGCUCAGAUGCCGUGUGUGUGUCAGUCAAGCUAGCGAUGCUAAGAUCGAAGACUUCAACACGUUUUCUAAUUAUUGCACCCUUGGUAAGCGGAGCGAGUUUUCACGGUGCUUGAAGGAUGCUCAAGUGUUGCUGGACAAACUUCUGUGGAUGACACCAGCAAGUAAACUCACCGCACCCGUUAGAGACUCUCCUGUGAAUUUUUUUGAUACCAAGGGCAGCUACAGUGAAAACUCGUCGCUACAUCUGAGCUAUCCACCUGUCUUCUACGAGCAGCUUCAUCUGCCACGGAAGCAAGAUUCUACAACAUGCUGCGUGGAUGCUACAGCUGCAGUGAGAAACUUUGGCACACUUGUGUAUAAAGCAACGCAGAAAAACACAAGAUAAGAACAUUUACACCUGCUCAUCUAAUUCAGUAAGGCAAUCCAAAAACCGAGCGCGAUGAGGGUAAAUCCGGAUCUGGACUCCUUUCCCACCAUCAGCAGAAGAACCGAAGGAGAAGAAGCGCCGACCAACAACCAGAACGGGGUGGAAGCUCUGACGCCACGGCAGCUGGAGGACACAGACCACAGCAUGGAGGCCUCACAGACUCCACAACGUCUGCACCCAUCACGUUCUGGGCUCAUCAGAUGAACCAGCUACUACAAGCGUGUGUGUCUGACACAGACACCUGCUUAUGACAAUCAGCAAAGGAAAACAAGGACAGAGCAACAGCAGAGAAGACGUGCUCUGACACAGACACUGGUUGAAACAACAGGAGAGGCUUCAGACGUGAUCGGCCCAAUAGAGCUGCAUCUGAGGAUCCAGGAAAGGUCUGUCAUCGAGGAACAACUGUCCCAUUGAAAGGCUUCACCCACUGGCGCUCACAUCAGACUGAUGGUUGGGGAAGGAGGAAGGUGACGGUUCCUUUUCACGUGACGUACAAGACGGUACCGCAAACACACACACACACAUUCAUACACGCAAUGAAGAAACACGCUUACAGCUGAUACACGCUCAAAUUCAUGUUCAUGCUUAUCUGCUCGCAAUGAAGAAUCGCUUUUUGCUUAAAAAAAUCCCACAGAGUGAUUUUAAAAUGAUGACAAACAGCUAAAUGACAAUUGCUGCAUGACUUUACAGUCUGAUGGGUUCAAACUAUUUUAACUUGCAACAAAUUCAGUAAUAAAAUCCUCUAUGUUUCUAAAAGGGUUUGUGCACAAUAUAGGUUUGUCUGGCCAGACUAGAAGACUAUAGGAAACAAAACAGACUAUAGAGAAAACAAAACAGACGGUAGAAAAAGAAACAAAAAAACAGACUAUAGGAAGACUGAGACUGACUGAAACAGACUAUUAAUGACUAUUAAAGGGAAGACGACUAUUAGAGAGAAGUAAUAAUAAUUACUGUACGUACCAGACUAUUAAAGAAAAACUUACUGUUUCACUGUCUUGUGCAACAUCUGACAGCAAGACACCUUAACAUUCAUCUUUGCUUUCAAACUUGUGCCCAGUUAAAUUUUUAGGAAGAGAUCUCAUGUAGUUUAGAUAUUUGAUUGAUUUCCACUCCAGACGGAGUGCAGGUUACAUCUACAGACAUUCUAAAUAAUCCCUCUUUUGUUGGUGUUAACUUCAGCUCAGCUGUGCUCUUAUCAUUAGCUGCUGGGGGGGGGGCUGUAACUGAGGCCCUCACACAGGCUGCAUCACAGCUUGUUUAUGAUUUUACACACACACACACACACACUGACAAACUGGCCUCAACUUCCCUCUUUUGGGAUGAACACAGGUCUGCGCUUGCGAUUUCUUUUCCUAACGAACAAAAAGAUUUUUGAUUUUUAUUCUACAGUUCCACACGUCCCUCUGUGAAAACAUGAUGGAGACAGAUGCAGGACGUGGGUCCUUUCGUGAUCAGAUGUCAACGGGGUGGAGACUGGUGAACGACUUCUGACCCCAUGUGACGUAUUUACCCACAUUACAUGCUUUUGUUUUUAUUUUGAUUUUUCAGAGGACGCUCUGACCCAACACUCAGCCUUACAGGAAGCCCUGCUUCCCUGUGGCUCACACACAGACAUGAUGUAGGUUCGAUCAGAGGAUGUGAACCAGUGGUCAUCACACCUAAAUCUGACCACAGACCAUGUAAACAACAACACCCUCUUAAAGGAAGCCAUAGAUGGCGUUACUGCAGACACCACUAAGCUACUGAAACAUUGGAUGCUACAGGCCACAAAGAGAGCCUGUCUAAAUUACACUUUGUUCAGACAAAGGUUAUUUUCUGGGUCAUUGUAAUUACAGCUGAUGGCAAAUCCAUCUCACCCAACAGAUUUGAAGCAAUUUGAAACCUGCCUAAACCGUGCACGUAUAAACAGCUGAUGUCUUUUCUAGGUUUUUGUUCUUAUUGUAGGACUUUCGUUCCUAACUUUACUGUCUUUGAGGCCCCACUCAGGGUUCUGAUGCAGACGUCUUCAUCGUCCACUUCUUGUCUCACGUGGACGUCUGAGGCUGAACAACGUUCACUGACCUCAUGCUUGCUCUUCAGGCUCCUACUUUGGGUCUUUCUGAUCUGACCCUACGCGACCUUUCACUCAAACAGUGGAUGAGAAAUCAGGUUGUACGACUUCUGUUCUUUUGUCCUCAUACUGUUUUUGAUUCUUUUGAAAUAGAUCACAUCUUUCUACAGCCCGAUGGCUUAGAUGCAACACCACCUUGCUCAACAUGCUGAACAUUACUAUCAAGAGGUCGUCUUGAAGUCUAGUGCUUUGCUAAGACACUACUCUGCUCAGGCUGCAGAGUUGAUCGCGUUGACUGAAGCUAGUAAACUAGCAGAAGGAGAGUCUGUUACCAUCUACACAGACUCUACAGAUGCUCUGUGGAAGCAUAGGAAGCUUUUGAAGUCUGAUUGCAAACUUAUCUUACAUCAUGAUAAGGUUCUGCUUUGCUGGACGCUGUCCUGCUACAGUACCUACAGCUAAUGCUGUUUGUAACUGUCCAACAUCAGUGACGACUUUGUUUGUGCCGACAUGCAGCUGCAGACGCUGCUGCGAAGGUCACUGCCCAACAACCCCUCCCUCUCCUGAUCCCUGUUUUCUCUCCUGAUCCUUGUUUUCUCUCAAACUCUCUCUGUCCUUUCCUUCCUCAUCUCCCUGUGGUUUAAACAUUUUCUACCUCACAGGAACGCAGACUCUGGCAGACGAAUGGUUCCACCUGUAGCCAUGGAGUCUGGUUUGGGCCUGAUGGAAGCAGUGCCGCCCAAACACCUUUUCCCCACAAUUCAGAUUUCCCAACAGGUGAAAACAGGCGACAGGACUAUUACACCAUCCAACGAGGGGACUGGCGAUCGUUAGGAGUUCAGGAGGAAGCAUUGGGACUCAAAACGGUGGCGAGGUCCCUUCCAGGUCCUUCUGACGACCAACACGGCUGUGAAGAUCGCAGAAAGAGCGACUUGGAUCCACUCCAGCCACUGCAGGAAGGUCCCGAAUCCAACAGACGACCCUCCAUCUACAUCUACACCACACGAGAAAACCACCACUGACGAAAAGAAUUGAGAAGGACGACCCUCGCUGUGCUCACACACGCACUGAGGCGAGGCUGCGUUGACCGUUCAGCUAAAGGUGUGAGCCAAGCGCCGCCUGAAGCUGCGCCGGUGAAUCACACUAUCAGACCAUACAUCUACACACACGCUCCUGAGAAAACACACACACGAGCAGCCUUGAGUUGCCAACGCUGGACGACGUGUAGACUCUUCACAUCACGGGAGUGACAGUGACUCAGACGACAUUGGGAGGAAACCUGACGGUGAUAACGAACCCCAAGUGUCUCUGUGAUCAGCUGAUCACAACCUGAAGAACCCCAACGAGCUGUCAAUACUUCAACACACAGGUUGGAAACAAUCUAACGCUACUGUUCAACAGGAAGAAGCAGAUUGUUACGAGACAUCAAUUGUAAACAUGCUUUGUUAGACUUCAUUUUAUGUUACUUGGAUUAUUGCCUUUAGCAUAUGAUGUUUCUUUGUAACUUUACACACUACUUUUGAAUGAGAAAAUUCACAACAACAACAACACUGAGUUUAAAUAUCCUGAAGUUGACUUGGUGUUUAAUUUGCUCACAAUCACUUUAUUCACUGCUACAAUUAGUUCUAUCCUUCAUCUACAGAUGAAAGACAACACAAGCGGAAAUAUGCAUCAUCAUUCUGGUUAAAUCCCUGAAUCUCCUAUUCGCUCUAGACGCAAAUGUACAAUUAAAGAUCCGAAAGCAUUAAAUCUAUCUUAAGAAUAUAUGAAACAGAACCCCACCGGAAACCUAUGGUUAUCAUACAUUAAUUGUCUUUAUUACAUUACAAUUGAAUGGCCAUAGACACGUUGUUAGCAGAGAAAAGAGGCGUUUGUGUUAUGUUUGGAGACGCAUGUUGUACUUACAUCCUGAAUAACACUGAUUCUAAUGGUAUUGUGGCGAAGGCGCUCCACGGCCUUCAGAAUCUCAGCUAACUCUGGUAUAGAUUCUUCCUCUUGGAAUUGGCUAGACGAAAUGUCUGGAAAAUGGAAAUCUGUUCUCAUGUCCACAGCUGUUUCCUUUAUCAUUGUGAUGGCUGUGAUUCUCUUGUUUGGUUGUUGCGUUAUCCCACUGGUUAGAGGUCUCAUCAUGCGUGCGACCUCAGCAACACUCUCGUAUGAGAUGACACAAUGCACUAUGUUCAAAAACCCCAACUCUAACUCACUUAAUGACUUUGACGAUGGUAUGGGCUCAUUUUCUUCACAUGCCGAUACAGAAGUUAUUCUUGUAUAACUACCCACCAAAAACAGCUCCCAACCUUUUGUCCCUUAGUUACUUCCAUUUUAUGUGAAGGUGUAUUUUGAAUCUUGAUGAGUUAAUACCCUUAUUGUUUCAUUUGCAAGGAUCUUUUAUUAUUACAGAAUGUGAUGUUGACAAUUUUUAUUCCUUUAUGGUUUGAUUAAUGUGUAAUCAAAAGGGGGGAGUGUUAUGGGAAAAAUUGUCUCUUAUUUUUAUGUGUCUUCCUUAUUUCUAUGCAUUUCUAUGCAGUUAUUAUACGAGUUAUGACUUAUGUUCUGCAAUAAUAUCUUAUGUUUUGUCUUACUGUAUGCAUUUGAUAUUUCACCUACAUUGUUCAAUGGUUGUCUCUGCCUGAUAGACUCUCAACUCUAGCUCCCAAACCCAAGGUCGGGGAGUUGUGUCUCUGUCUGUUGAGACUCGGUGCUCCUUUCUCACAGAUAGUUGGACGUCAGCGAUGCAGGUGUGAGAAUGUAAAUAUCUUCACACACACUGCGACAGGGAGGAGAUGGUGCAUGUAAUUUGAUUGGGUUGGAAAGACAUUCCACCCUAGUCGGACAGAGAAGCUAAAAGGCAGAAGCAACUUGAGGAUCGUGGGCUCUUUGCAUCACACCUUCGUGGUGUGUGCACUGAUCUCCCCAGCUGGUUUUUGGUUUGUUGAUGUGCACGAUCAACAUCCAUGCUUUUUAUUUGCUUUCCCCAUUAUUUUUAUUUUCUUUACUAUUUCAAUAAAUCGCACAAAAGGACAA